UACGUAGGGUGCAAGCGUUGUCCGGAAUUAUUGGGCGUAAAGAGCUCGUAGGCGGUCAGUCGCGUCUGCUGUGAAAACUCGGGGCUUAACUCCGGGCCUGCAGGUGGGUACGGGCUGACUAGAGUGCGGUAGGGGAGGACUGGAAUUCCUGGUGUAGCGGUGAAAUGCGCAGAUAUCAGGAGGAACACCGGUGGCGAAGGCGGGUCUCUGGGCCGUAACGGACGCUGAGGAGCGAAAGCGUGGGGAGGCGAACAGG
rnacentral:rRNA from 1 species